UACAGAGGGUGCGAGCGUUAAUCGGAAUUACUGGGCGUAAAGGGCGCGUAGGCGGUUGUUUAAGUGAGUUGUGAAAUACCUGGGCUUAACCUGGGAAUUGCGACUUAUACUGGACAGCUGGAGUACUGUAGAGGGUAGUGGAAUUUCCGGUGUAGCGGUGAAAUGCGUAGAUAUCGGAAGGAACACCAGUGGCGAAGGCGACUACCUGGACAGAUACUGACGCUGAGGCGCGAGAGCGUGGGGAGCAAACAGG
rnacentral:rRNA from 1 species